ensembl:lncRNA
UGUGUGUGUGAGACUGUGUGUGUGAGAGUGUGUGUGAGAGUGGUAGUGUGUGAGAGUGUGUGUGAGAGUGUGUGUGUGUGUGUGUGUGUGAGAGUGUGUGAGAACAUAUUCACUGGUGUGAAAUGAUGUAAAAGUCAUGAAGGACGGAACACACUGUGGUUUUCUGUGGGAUGCUGCGUCAGCUCUGCCGCUGUGCCUGAUGCAUUAAAGACCUGAUUUAUUAUUUCUGAAUGAACGGAACGUUGCAGGCUGAUGAACAGAAGACGGAUGCAGCUGGACCCCGAGUCGAAUGCUGUAAGAUUCAUGAAGAGAUCUCUUUAAGCGCUGCGUGAACAUGUUCAUGUAGACCCGAAUCCUUGUGUUUUUUAAUCUGAUAUAAAACGCUUCAUUCGAAGACGCGGUGUUGUCUGAUUUAUUGGUGACGCUGUUACUCGUUUAGCGUGUACUUAAAGUCGUCCUGGGUUAAUAGAAGAAACAAAUAAACAAACUAACGUAUUAUAGUUAAGAACUAUGUUAUAUAUUAUAGUUUAAAAAAUCUUUAUUUCAAUUUUUAACGGUUUCUUUUUUAACGGCAC